UACAGAGGGUGCAAGCGUUGUUCGGAAUUAUUGGGCGUAAAGCGCGUGUAGGCGGCUUGGCAAGUCAGAUGUGAAAGCCCUCGGCCCAACCGAGGAAGUGCUUUGGAUACUGCGGGACUUGAAUCUGCGGAGGGGCGGGUGGAAUUCCCAGUGUCAGAGGUGAAAUUCGUAGAUAUUGGGAGGAACACCAGUGGCGAAGGCGGCCCGCUGGACGAUGAUUGACGCCGAGGCACGAAAGCGUGGGGAGCAAACAGGAUUGAGAUACCCGUCGUA
rnacentral:rRNA from 1 species